AGCAUUAUCUCUUCCCUGGGCCCUUUGUCUCCAGCCCAUCCAGACCCCGGAGUUUCUUCUGGAGAUGCUGUCACCAUGCUCAGUUUGACUCCUAGCCAAUGCUUCUGCUGAAUUAGUUGUAAUGAUCUCCAUCCCUCAGCCCAGGGGCCCUUCUCCUCCUGCUCGUACUGCUCUGCAUCGGUCCCAGCGCCGCUCAGUGGGACCAACAAAUACACAAAAUGAGAAAUGAACUAAAACUUCUAAAUCAUCUCUCUGAAUCAAAUGCAACUGGUUGGAAAAUGUCAACAUGGCUGUUCUGACAGACUGCUUUCUUCUAAGCAUAAGACUUGUCAAAACCAGCCGGAUCCCCACAAACAUGUCUUGCUUUCCACUUUUCCAGCAGCUCCUCGUCCAGCUUUCUCCCCAUCCUGCCAAGGUCUGAAUGCAUCUGCUUGGGUGUCAUGCUCAAACUUUUCUCCUUCCGUCAUCCAAAACGAUCCAAAACUUCAGUCUUAAACUUGGACUCACUGGGAGGAACCUCAAAGGGGAUCAAAGCCCAGCGGAGCCCCAGGGUCCUCAGCUGCUCCUGGCUGGCGCCUUUCAUCCCACGGCUGUGCCCUCCCCACCGCCUGCCCCUUCCAUGCAUCCUCCUGCUUUUAAUUACGUUGUAGAAAAGUCUCACAACUCAGCGAUUCAAGGUGGCAUUUGAGAGAAAUGAUUCCCUUUAGCAUAGCUGACAGCUAAUUUGUGUAAAGUUUAAUUACAGCUAGCAUUAAUUAACUGGCAGUGUGUUGCGAUACUAAAGCACGACCAUCUGUUCUUUAAAACGCCUCCCCCGAAUUUCAGCCCUAAUGGUUUCAGUGCCAGGCAGGUUGCUCCCUUGGACCCGGCGUGACCGCAGCCCUUGCAGGAGGGCUGGGAGAAGGGCUCCAAGCCGCAGUUUGCUGCAGCAUGGUGUGGGCGCGUGCAAUGAUGUUCUGUGCCAGCACAGCCAAAGAUGCACCAGCAUCCUCCCUUUUCUAAGAGCAAAGCUGGGGACUUUUCCAUGAAGGUGUCAGCAAACAAGGGCCCGUGGCUGUAUCCCAUCGGGUGGGUUUGCAGCUGUCCCUGGUUUCAGUCUGUUCCUCCCCUGUGCAGAGAUGUGAAUGCCAAAGGGGCAGCCCCAG
ensembl:lncRNA